AGCCAAUGAUUAUUCAUUUUUAUUUCUGACACCUCGUAUGAACUGCACUGCAGUUUGUGAUUUUUUUCCAAUUUUAAACUGAGGCUC
ensembl:snoRNA